rnacentral:misc_RNA from 1 species
AGUGAUCCUUCUGUUAGGUGAACACUUGCCGAAGCCUUAGCAGCCCGAAAGGGUAGCCCUCCGCGACUGAGUAAAUACAGAGAGGUGCUUUGAAUGCUAGUCAGUCUCGAACUGGCGACACUGCCAAAUUGCGGGGACACCCUAAAGACCUUGACACCAAGCACCAUCGGAAACGGUGGUGUGGCCGAGCUAAUUGCCCUGGGUAUGGUAAUAGUUCAAGGUAUGAGACUCCCUCCGCCAGGGGGGAAAAGAAGUCGAAAUGGGCAAUCCGCAGCCAAGUCCUACAGCCUUCCUCUUGCCGGGGAGGCCACGGACGCUGUUCACAGGCCAAAUGGUAGUGGGUGAACCUAUUAGGUUCGCUUAAGAUAUGGUCGGUCUCUGGGCGAAAGCCCAGGGGUAAGUUUCACUGAAACCCUCCACAAACGUUCCGUAGGUGAACCUGCGGAAGGAUCAUUAAUGAGUUAGGGUCUCCUAGGCCCGACCUCCCAACCCUUUGCUUACUAGACCUCAGUUGCUUCGGCAGGCCCGUCUUAAUCUGACCGCUGGAGGACCGCCUAAUGCGGGUGUUACCUCUGGCCAGUGUCUGCCGAUAGCCUAAUCUCCUAACUCUGGAUCAAUCAUGAUUUACAAUGUCUAAGUGAUUUUAUUCAAUUAAAAGCAAAAACUUUCAACAACGGAUCUCUUGGUUCUGGCAUCGAUGAAGAACGCAGCGAAAUGCGAUAAGUAAUGCGAAUUGCAGAAUUCCAGUGAGUCAUCGAAUCUUUGAACGCACAUUGCGCCCUUUGGUAUUCCGAAGGGCAUGCCUGUUCGAGCGUCAUUAUCACCCCCUCAAGCCCCUGUGCUUGGUGUUGGACGGCUUGG